rnacentral:rRNA from 1 species
CCUACGGGGUGCAGCAGUGAGGAAUAUUGGUCAAUGGACGAGAGUCUGAACCAGCCAAGUAGCGUGAAGGAUGACUGCCCUAUGGGUUGUAAACUUCUUUUAUAUGGGAAUAAAAUGUUCCACGUGUGGGAUUUUGUAUGUACCAUAUGAAUAAGGAUCGGCUAACUCCGUGCCAGCAGCCGCGGUAAUACGGAGGAUCCGAGCGUUAUCCGGAUUUAUUGGGUUUAAAGGGAGCGUAGGUGGAUUGUUAAGUCAGUUGUGAAAGUUUGCGGCUCAACCGUAAAAUUGCAGUUGAAACUGGCAGUCUUGAGUACAGUAGAGUUAGGCGGAAUUCGUGGUGUAGCGGUGAAAUGCUUAGAUAUCACGAAGAACUCAGAUUGCGAAGGCAGUUCACUGGACUGCAACUGACACUGAGGCUCGAAAGUGUGGGUAUCAAACAGGAUUAGAUACCCUUUAGUC